GCCAAUCCCAUAAAACCAUUCUCAGUUCGGAUUGUAGGCUGCAACUCGCCUACAUGAAGCUGGAAUCGCUAGUAAUCGCGGAUCAGCAUGCCGCGGUGAAUACGUUCCCGGGCCUUGUACACACCGCCCGUCACACCACGAGAGUUUGUAACACCCGAAGUCGGUGGAGUAACCGUAAGGAGCUAGCCGCCUAAGUU
rnacentral:rRNA from 1 species